rnacentral:lncRNA from 1 species
CGAACCUAGCCAAAUCCCCUAACGAAUUCGCAAAAAAUUAACUUUUGCAAACUUUCAAAGUAUUUCUAAAAGUCAACCAUUUUUUGAUAAAUCAAAUUUUAGAAAGUUAAUCAAAGACGUUUUCAAACAAUCAGGAUAAUCGCAAGUUAGCGGCCGUUUUAGGUGCCUAACACCUUCCUAAAACGUUAAUAGGAACCGCUUACUCAGAAUUUCUUAACUCAAAUGAUUUUCCUAUUUUGAAUCGUUUGAAGUACUUUAUAAAGGUUUCUUAAUUCCUUUUUAAAAUUAAGUGGCGACUCUCUCAAAAGUCAAAAUUUCUCCGCAAAACACAUCACACAUACAUUCAUUCAUACAUUCAACAUUCAUUCAUACAUAAUCAACAUCUAACAAAAGACUAUACUUAUAAGCUACAUGAGUCUUACAAGAUACACUUCAUAAGUCUUACAAGACACUCUAUCUUACAAGACACACUUCACAAAAAUAAGGACUACUAUUCAUUUAAAAACUAAACAGAAUAUUUAAAAGAAAAAUUUCAUAUUCUAACAGUUCAUCUAUGACACCUUAACUUGGUCACAACUUUGAGAGUGCAUGUCUACACAACUAAAUACCCCAACUCAUCCUGUCACGACCCGAGCCGGGGCCUUAGCCGCGACGGGCGUCCCGAACCGUGAAGGCCCGAGCGCCCUUCUCUAUCUGGCAAUCAUACACACGUUCAUAUAAUAUGAAGGAAAAUGUGGAAAUAUAAAACAAUACGGAAUCAUGGUCACUAUCAUAAUUCAAUUGAAUAAUCUGUGAUGGAAACCAUAAACCUCGAAACAACUUUAAACAUCAGUCUGUGAAAUCUCUAACAACUGAAAAUGGCAUUUGUCUGAAAUCUGGGACAAGGCCCCCAGUCGGUCCAUGAAUCAAAAUGGAACAAUAAUAACAAGCUCUAAUACCGGCCUUCCGAAGUAAAGAAGGCUCACCAGCUGCAAACUUCUGACACACACGAAUCUACUAUUGUAUGGGACUGCGGGACUCUGCCUCGGAUCCUGAGAGGGAGGAGGAGGGGGUCAAUACAGAUAUACUGGUACGUAGAGCAAUCCAAAAUAAUGAAUUUAUACAUAUAUAACAUAGGUGAGAGCAAGUCAUAAAACAUUAUGCGUGAAAUAGUUUAAAAUACAUGGGCCAUUUCAAAAGAUCUCAAAACAGUCUUGUCAAUGCAAUGUCAUUCUUUGUAUUACUUCUGAGCUAGGUGGUACAGCCUACAUAUCUGAAAGUUUCUCACGAGCAAUAUGGGAUCCUUCAUUAACUCGACGGCCAAAUCCCCAACCCAAGUUUGCUGCAAGGGUUGAAGUAUCUGAAUCUGAUACACCUCAGGGCUCUAGGCCAACGUAUAAUAAUAUACCUGUAUCGGCAAAACACGGUUUCGGGCAAUAAAUCAUAUGACUCAUGCCUUCUUUGGGUAACCACCUUACUCUCUUAGUGCCCAGUUUUAACCCAUUCUAAACAUGCAUCUUUCUGAAUUCAAAAUCUGAAAUCUAAAAUGAAAUCUGUAUUCUGUUCUGAGUUUUAUCAUGACUUUAUCUGAUUUGGUAUCGUCAUACCAAGAUUUGCAAUUCAUAAUUCUGAGCCAUAAAAUAUCAUGUUACAGUCUUUUCAUUCAAAACAUAAAGUUUGGACCACCAUAUCAUUCAAAUAGUGCAAGAGAAUCCAUAUUUCAAUCAUAUGUAAAAAUUAUGCAAGGCUCUCUCUUUUAGACAUUUCAACAAACAUGUGGUGGUCAAGUAUUUUGUAACAACCCAUGCAAUCUCUUUGAAUCACCACUUUUCAUUUAUAUUAGCAAGAAUCACCCUCUCUUUUCAAUUCAAAACCAUGAUCAAGUCAUAAGCAAUAAUCAAGACCUUUGUAUCAUGCUUCUCAAAAAUGCAUUUUGAAGCAAUCCAUAUCGUAUGAAAAUAAUGGGAAAUCAUAGAAAGAGAGGGAUUCUAUAUUUUCAUGUUCUCAAUUAAAUCUUCAAACUCAAUUUAAUACAUAUAUAUAUACAAGUACAAAUAAAUUUGGGAAAAAGGCCUCAAGACCAAAUAAUAAUAUCACUAGAUAAUUCAUAAAGCAAGAUUGUAAACAUAAUUCCAAAACCCAUUGCAAAUUCAUGAUUUCUCAAUAUUCAAAGCAUUAUUAAAAACGUUUUCACCAUGUACAUGUAGUUUAGAAAAACUCCACGUACCUUAGAUUAUAGAAUUUGAAAGGUGGAACCCGGAUCCUAGUCCGUUUCUUGAAAUUCUUGAUCUUAGGGAUGAGUUCUUGAUCUUUAGAAGAGAAGGAAACUUGAAUAUUGUUCUUGAAGUUCUUGAGAGAAAGGGCGGAUGAUUUCAAUUUGG